GGGGAGCAAGCCAGUAUUCAGCUCCCUCCGAGACCUCUGUAUCAUCUCCUGCCCGGUGUGAGCUCCUGUCCUGACUUCCUUUGGUGAGAAACAGCAAUAUGGAAGUGGAGAGUUAAAUAAAGCCUGUGGAUUUUUGAUAUGAAUGUCUGGCAGACCCGUGUGCACUGAAAGGUUUCCAGUGAGGCCUCCUGAUGAAAGCGUCACUCCAACUGUGGAGUGCUCGUUCAUGGCACAUGAAAGGCAGCGGCCCCUCCACGUGUCCCCAGACCCACAAACAGGAACAGUGCCCACGUAAAGGUCCAGAUUCCAGAACACGUCUGAUUUUGGCAGGAAGAGAUAUGCGGUAAUGAGAAUGAAUACGAGGAACCGCUGGCUAAUUACUUCAGACACCAGUCACACCCAGGCAGUUUAACACGGCUGUCCUAACAGAGGCUGGCCUUCUUUGGAUUGUGUUUUAUUGGAAAUAGUGAAUGAUCUGCAGCAACUCAGAUUGUUCCGUUCGUCAAGCAGUCAAAAGAAAAAGAAAGGAAGAGGGGAGGGUGUGGCUGAGCUGUAGCAGCAUCUGCUCCUUCAGCUGCCUGGAUUUUUCUUGCUCUCAGUUCUCUGUAAGGCUACAUGGACCCAUGAUAACUGAUGUCUUCAGUGGACCAUGACUUGGGCUCCUCAGGGCCACCAUUUCCCCUGGCAUCCGGAAGGUCAGAUGACAUUUGAGCAUAUCAUCUCUUCUGCCUGGUCUCUCAGGGGCAGCUAGUGAUUUCUGGCUAGGUUAAGACUGUGACCACACAACGGUGGCAACUGUGGGUGGCCCAACGGCAUUGGGCAGGAGUUUUAUUUUUUUAUUUAUUUUUACUUAGGUGUAUGUGUGUGGGCUUGUGUGUUAUGUGUACAAGUGCUCAUUAAGGUCAGAAGAGAAUGUUGGGUCCCCUGGAGCUGCACUUACAGAUGAUUUUGAGCUGCUUAAUGUGGGUCUUGGGAGCUGGACUCAGGUCUGGCACAGCUGUAGAAAAUGCUCUUGAUCAUGGAGCCAUCUUUCCAGCCCUGGGGAUAUUUGUUUGUUUGUAAAAUAAUUAUAACCCUAUCUAUCUAUCUAUCUAUCUAUCUAUCUAUCUAUCUAUCUAUCUAUCUAUCUAUCUAGUCUUUGUCUGUUUGUGUGUGGUGUGUGUGUUUAGUGUGGUGUGUGUAGUGUGGUGUGGUAUGGUGUGUGUGUAAACCCUUGGAUUAUGAAGUGAAAUGAAGACAACAAUAUGCCUUGGAGGAACAGUGGUUGAAGAAAGGACUACAGGUAGAUAAGGUGACUCCGGGUUUGUUUUUUACUGAAAUAGUACAACAAGCACUCACAGCAUCUCUCCAAAUAGACAGUCUGUCUUAGCCCAUAUAGGCUGCUAUAAUAAAACACAGAGAUUGGGUGGCUUAUAAACAAAAGAAAUGUAUAUCUUACAAGUUAGGAUGGUUGAAAACCCAAGGUCAAAAUACUGGCUGAUUCAGGGUUUGCCCAGGGGCUGCUUCCUGGUUCUUAAAUGGUGACUUAUCAUAGGUGGAAGGUAUAAGCAGGGGUGGGUGAGGGGAGUCUUUUCUCAGAGCACUAGUCCCCUUAGUUAGUGCUUUGCCCUUGCGACUUCCGAAAGUCCCCAGUUUCAUGGUACCAUCAUCUUGGGAGGUUGUGAUUUCAGCAUCAUCUAUAUUGGAGCAGGGCAUAAACAUUGACUCCGGUGUACUAUCCAAUCAAAGAAUACGGGAGUGACUGACUAUAGUUAAAAGCAGAUGGGAUUGGGGCAGGAAGAAAAAUGCAAGAAAGCUUUAGCUUUAUUUUCAAAGUAGAUUGCCAGAAAAGAAACAUUAAGACAUCACACAGCUCCCCAACACAUCUCCUCCCACCAAGAGAACCUAAGUUCUGUAUAAUUUGAGAAAGAUUAUGUAAAAUAAGCCCCUUUAAUACAAUUCCCCAUGUUCCAGGGAAAUUAUUUCAUUUCUAUUCAUAUCUGUAAUUUUGCUGCUGUUCUGAAUUGCAGUGUAAAUAUCUGUGUUUUCCAAUGGUCUUAGGUGACACCACCCCCCCCCCAAAAAGGUCAUGCAACCCCAGGGGUCACAACCACAGGUUGAGAACAUAUGACUUAUAGCUUGUGUUUAAGUUGC
rnacentral:lncRNA from 1 species